ACGAGCCCAGACAUGCAGCCAGCUGCCUGCUUACGCUGAAACCCUGGCCCUGCCACUGACCAGCCCUCUGACCUUCCGCAGGUCACAUCAGCUCACUGGACCUGGGUAUCCUUAGCUUCCAGAAGGGCAGAGUGUUAGCCCCUCACAGUGCUGUUACAAGAAAUGGAUGCUUUCACCUCGACGAGCGAGCACCGUCUAAAUGGCUGGGUUUUGUGCUUCUUAAAAAGAGGGCACUGCCUACCCCCAAAGGAAUUCGUUGCUGAGGCUGGCUCGUGAGACACCGUGGCCCAGGAGGAAAUUUACUUGGGGAUGGUGGAGGCCUGAGAACAGGCAGACCCACGCUCAUGCGCGCACGCGCACACUCACACACACACACACACACACACACACACACACACACACACACACCCCAUGGCUGGAACACCCACCUUUCAGUGUCU
rnacentral:lncRNA from 1 species